rnacentral:rRNA from 1 species
AUUGAACGCUGGCGGCAGACCUAACACAUGCAAGUCGAGCGAGUGGCGGACGGGUGAGUAAUGUAUGGGAAAAUGCAUGAUGGAGGGGGAUAACUACUGGAAACGGUAGCUAAUACCGCAUCCCAUCAGAUGUGCCCAGAUGGGAUUAGCUUGUAGGUGGGGUAACGGCGCACCUAGGCGACGAUCCCUAGCUGGUCUGAGAGGAUGACCAGCCACACUGGAACUGAGACACGGUCCAGACUCCUACGGGAGGCAGCAGUGGGGAAUAUUGCACAAUGGGCGCAAGCCUGAUGCAGCCAUGCCGCGUGUGUGAAGAAGGCCUUCGGGUUGUAAAGCACUUUUAGCGGGGAGGCGUUACCCGCAGAAGAAGCACCGGCUAACUCCGUGCCAGCAGCCGCGGUAAUUC